UACGGGGGGGGCAAGCGUUGUUCGGAAUUACUGGGCGUAAAGGGGUCGUAGGUGGCCAACUAAGUCGGACGUGAAAUCCCUCAGCUUAACUGGGGAACUGCGUCUGAUACUGGUUGGCUUGAGUGCAGGAGAGGAACGCGGAAUUCCAGGUGUAGCGGUGAAAUGCGUAGAUAUCUGGAGGAACACCGGUGGCGAAGGCGGCGUUCUGGACUGCAACUGACACUGAGGAACGAAAGCCAGGGGAGCAAACGGG
rnacentral:rRNA from 1 species